rnacentral:rRNA from 1 species
GACGAACGCUGGCGGCGUGCUUAACACAUGCAAGUCGAACGGAAAGGCCCUGCUUUUGUGGGGUGCUCGAGUGGCGAACGGGUGAGUAACCCGUGAGUAUCCUGCCCUUGACUUUGGGAUAACUUCAGGAAACUGGGGCUAAUACCGGAUAGGAGCUCCUGCUGCAUGGUGGGGGCUGGAAAGUUUCGGCGGUUGGGGAUGGUCUCGCGGCUUAUCGGCUUGUUGGUGGGGUAGUGGCUUACCAAGGCUUUGACGGGUAGCCGGCCUGAGAGGGUGACCGGCCACAUUGGUACUGAGGUACGGCCCAGACGCCUACGGGGGGCAGCGGUGGAGAAUAUUGCACAAUGGGGGGAAGCCUGAUGCAGCGACGCCGCGUGCGGAAUGACGGCCUUCGGGGUGUAAACCGCUUUCGCCUGUGACGAAGCGUGAGUGACGGUAAUGGGUAAAGAAGCACCGGCUAACUACGUG